rnacentral:rRNA from 1 species
UACGUAGACAGCAAGCGUUGUUCGGAAUUACUGGGCGUAAAGAGUGUGUAGGCGGUGCUCUAAGUCUGUUGUGAAAUCUCCCGGCUUAACCGGGAGGGUGCGGCGGAAACUGGAGUGCUUGAGGGUGGGAGAGGUAAGCGGAAUUCCUGGUGUAGCGGUGAAAUGCGUAGAUAUCAGGAGGAACACCUGUGGUGUAGACAGCUUACUGGACCACUUCUGACGCUGAGACACGAAAGCGUGGGUAGCAAACAGG